rnacentral:rRNA from 1 species
UACGUAGGGUGCGAGCGUUAAUCGGAAUUACUGGGCGUAAAGUGUGCGCAGGCGGCCGCGCAAGUCGAGUGUGAAAGCCCCGGGCUCAACCUGGGAAUUGCAUUUGUGACUGCACGGCUAGAGUGUGUCAGAGGGGGGGUAGAAUUCCACGUGUAGCAGUGAAAUGCGUAGAGAUGUGGAGGAAUACCGAUGGCGAAGGCAGCCCCCCUGGGAUAACACUGACGCUCAUGCACGAAAGCGUGGGGAGCAAACAGG